CUGGAGGUGUACUUAAAGAUGAGUGUGCGUCUGAUUAGCUAGUUCGGUACGGUAACGGCGUACCAAGGCGACGAUCAGUAGGGGGCGUGAGAGCGUGGACCCCCACACGGGUACUGAGACACGGACCCGACUCCUACGGGAGGCAGCAGUAAGGAAUAUUGGUCAAUGGAGGAAACUCUGAACCAGCCAUCCCGCGUGCAGGAAGAAUGCCCUAUGGGUUGUAAACUGCUUUUAUCUGGGAAGAAAAGCCGGCAUUUAUGUUGGUCUGACGGUACCAGAGGAAUAAGCACCGGCUAACUCCGUG
rnacentral:rRNA from 1 species